rnacentral:lncRNA from 1 species
CAUGCACAAGAUAAGGAUGAAUUCUAGAUAAGAUAGGAAAACCCCGAUUCCCGCAGGAUUCUGCGCAAUCAGAUAAAACAGCCAAGUUCGUGCCUCAAACGAACUCCGAUUACCAUGAAACUAGAUUCGUUGGAUUCAGGACGAAGAAUCCUUCCAGAUGGCACCUUUUCCACUUUGAACGGACUUCUAUAGAGUUCCCAAAAUGCCCCUCAAAGUGAAAGCGCGUGGAAACAGCGUUUCAGCCACGUCUUCUAACCAUACACGUUUUCAGUUAUAAAAACAUGUUAAAACGUGUCCCUUGCCUUCUGGAGACUUAUGCCACGUUCCUCCAUCAGUGGCACACAUUUCCAUGCAUCCCAAUUUCCCGGAUUCAGUCCAUGCUUCGAGAUAAGCCCACAACGCUGAAUCAGUCUCGUUGCAGCAGCUUUCCUCCUAAUGAUGAACCAGCAUGUAU